rnacentral:misc_RNA from 1 species
UGGGCGCGGCGUGCGCGGGGAGAGCGAGACUCUCGAGCGGGUUGUGGAGCUUUGAGAGGACUAGGCAGAGCAUCUCCUCUUCGGCACGGAAGGGCUGCGAGUCGGGGGAAACGGGGUGCCAGCCCAGGACGCGGGACGGCGAGGCGUCGUACCGGAAGGACUUGAUGUGCGCGAGAUUGGGGAUCUCGAGCGCGUCCGACCCGAAUGUCG